rnacentral:rRNA from 1 species
UGGGGAAUAUUGCACAAUGGGCGCAAGCCUGAUGCAGCCAUGCCGCGUGUAUGAAGAAGGCCUUCGGGUUGUAAAGUACUUUCAGCGGGGCGGAAGGCGAUAAGGUUAAUAACCUUGUCGAUUGACGUUACCCGCAGAAGAAGCACCGGCUAACUCCGUGCCAGCAGCCGCGGUAAUACGGAGGGUACAAGCGUUAAUCGGAAUUACUGGGCGUAAAGCGCACGCAGGCGGUCUGUCAAGUCGGAUGUGAAAUCCCCGGGCUCAACCUGGGAACUGCAUUCGAAACUGGCAGGCUAGAGUCUUGUAGAGGGGGGUAGAAUUCCAGGUGUAGCGGUGAAAUGCGUAGAGAUCUGGAGGAAUACCGGUGGCGAAGGCGGCCCCCUGGACAAAGACUGACGCUCAGGUGCGAAAGCGUGGGGAGCAAACA